CCAUGCAUGUCUAAGUACAUGCCGUAUUAAGGCGAAACCGCGAAUGGCUCAUUAAAUCAGUUAUGGUUCCUUGGAUCGUACCUUACUACUUGGAUAACUGUGGCAAUUCUAGAGCUAAUACAUGCAGCAGAGCUCUGACCUUCGGGGACGAGCGCUUUUAUUAGACCAAAACCAAUCGGACCUCGCGUCCGUUUCUGGUGGUGACUCUGUAUAACUUUGGGCUGAUCGCACGGGCGUGUCCCGGCGACGUAUCUUUCAAGUGUCUGCCUUAUCAACUUUCGAUGGUAGGUUACGCGCCUACCAUGGUCGUAACGGGUAACGGGGAAUCAGGGUUCGAUUCCGGAGAGGGAGCCUGAGAAACGGCUACCACAUCCAAGGAAGGCAGCAGGCGCGCAAAUUACCCACUCCCGGAACGGGGAGGUAGUGACGAAAAAUAACAAUACGGGACUCUUUUGAGACCCCGUAAUUGGAAUGAGUACACUCUAAAUCCUUUAACGAGGAUCUAUUGGAGGGCAAGUCUAGUGCCAGCAGCCGCGGUAAUUCUAGCUCCAAUAGCGUAUAUUAAAGUUGUUGCGGUUAAAAAGCUCGUAGUUGGAUCUCAGUUCCAGACGGGUGGUCCGCCUACCGGUGGUUACUGCCUGUUCUGAACAGCCAGCCGGUUUCUCUUGAUGAUCUUCACCGGUUGUCUUGGGUGACCGGCAAGUUUACUUUGAAAAAAUUAGAGUGCUCAAAGCAGGCGUGACGCUUGAAUAAUGGUGCAUGGAAUAAUGGAAUAGGACCUCGGUUCUAUUUUGUUGGUUUUCGGAACACGAGGUAAUGAUUAAGAGGGACAGACGGGGGCAUUCGUAUUGCGACGCUAGAGGUGAAAUUCUUG
rnacentral:rRNA from 1 species